rnacentral:rRNA from 1 species
AUGAACGCUAGCUACAGGCUUAACACAUGCAAGUCGAGGGGCAGCAUGGUCUUAGCUUGCUAAGGCCGAUGGCGACCGGCGCACGGGUGAGUAACACGUAUCCAACCUGCCGUCUACUCUUGGACAGCCUUCUGAAAGGAAGAUUAAUACAAGAUGGCAUCAUGAGUCCGCAUGUUCACAUGAUUAAAGGUAUUCCGGUAGACGAUGGGGAUGCGUUCCAUUAGAUAGUAGGCGGGGUAACGGCCCACCUAGUCUUCGAUGGAUAGGGGUUCUGAGAGGAAGGUCCCCCACAUUGGAACUGAGACACGGUCCAAACUCCUACGGGAGGCAGCAGUGAGGAAUAUUGGUCAAUGGGCGAGAGCCUGAACCAGCCAAGUAGCGUGAAGGAUGACUGCCCUAUGGGUUGUAAACUUCUUUUAUAAAGGAAUAAAGUCGGGUAUGGAUACCCGUUUGCAUGUACUUUAUGAAUAAGGAUCGGCUAACUCCGUGCCAGCAGCCGCGGUAAUACGGAGGAUUCGAGCGUUAUCCGGAUUUUUUGGGUUUAAAGGGAGCGUAGAUGGAUGUUUAAGUCAGUUGUGAAAGUUUGCGGCUCAACCGUAAAAUUGCAGUUGAUACUGGAUAUCUUGAGUGCAGUUGAGGCAGGCGGAAUUCGUGGUGUAGCGGUGAAAUGCUUAGAUAUCACGAAGAACUCCGAUUGCGAAGGCAGCCUGCUAAGCUGCAACUGACAUUGAGGCUCGAAAGUGUGGGUAUCAAACAGGAUUAGAUACCCUGGUAGUCCACACGGUAAACGAUGAAUACUCGCUGUUUGCGAUAUACGGCAAGCGGCCAAGCGAAAGCGUUAAGUAUUCCACCUGGGGAGUACGCCGGCAACGGUGAAACUCAAAGGAAUUGACGGGGGCCCGCACAAGCGGAGGAACAUGUGGUUUAAUUCGAUGAUACGCGAGGAACCUUACCCGGGCUUAAAUUGCAGAUGAAUUACGGUGAAAGCCGUAAGCCGCAAGGCAUCUGUGAAGGUGCUGCAUGGUUGUCGUCAGCUCGUGCCGUGAGGUGUCGGCUUAAGUGCCAUAACGAGCGCAACCCUUAUCUUUAGUUACUAACAGGUUCCGCUGAGGACUCUGACAAGACUGCCAUCGUAAGAUGUGAGGAAGGUGGGGAUGACGUCAAAUCAGCACGGCCCUUACGUCCGGGGCUACACACGUGUUACAAUGGGGGGUACAGAGGGCCGCUACCACGCGAGUGGAUGCCAAUCCCCAAAACCUCUCUCAGUUCGGACUGGAGUCUGCAACCCGACUCCACGAAGCUGGAUUCGCUAGUAAUCGCGCAUCAGCCACGGCGCGGUGAAUACGUUCCCGGGCCUUGUACACACCGCCCGUCAAGCCAUGGGAGCCGGGGGUACCUGAAGUGCGUAACCGCGAGGAGCGCCCUAGGGUAAAACUGGUGACUGGGGCU